rnacentral:lncRNA from 1 species
AUGUUCCCUCCUUACCAGCUGCUGUCGGAUCCACCGCAACAUCCCCUCGACCGGCCGGCCGGCCUGACGGUGGCGGUCAGCUCCCUCACGGCGAGCGAGGUUAAAUUUGUAAGCAGCAUUUGGAAGAAUUCCUUCUGGGCUACAACACCUAUGAUNAUUAACCAAAGCAAAACCUGCUUUGGCAAAGCAUCAUGGAAAAUAAAAUUAUUUCCCAAGAUCUGACUGGUAUGUAUGCCCUGAUCAGUACAUCUAUCUCUGUUUAUAAGAUUGGAAAUACAUUCUCUUUACUUUCUGAAGGGAGCACUAAGAAGAUCA